rnacentral:rRNA from 1 species
UACGGAGGGGACUAGCGUUGCUCGGAAUCACUGGGCGUAAAGGGCGCGCAGGCGGUCGUUCAAGUCGCGUGUGAAAGCCCCCGGCUCAACUGGGGAGGGUCACGCGAUACUGAUCGACUCGAAGGCAGGAGAGGGUAGUGGAAUUCCCGGUGUAGUGGUGAAAUUCGUAGAUAUUAGGAAGAACACCGGUGGCGAAGGCGGCCCACUGGCUCGACACUGACGCUGAGGUGCGAAAGCGUGGGGAGCAAACAGG